UGGAAAACUCUGGCAGCCCUGGACCCACAGUCCUGCAUGACGAACACGAGUUGGAGCUGAGUGACAGCUGCCCAGUGUCAGGGGCCUGUGGUCUCCCGUUGUUCACAGUCUCCACCACUCCCUAUUGUCUCCCUCCAGCCUCCUUCACUCCUUGGUCCCCAGCCUGGUCCCCAAGGGCAUGUGAGUUUAUGGUUCCUGCUGGGGGCCAUGGGGAACCAUGUUAGGAUGGACCAUUGAGGCUGGAGUGGGAGCUUAGAGGGGACAAGCGGUUCCAGGAGCCCAGGGUGUUGUGGUCACUCCUUCCCCGGAUGCGGACAAGUCUUGACCCCACGCAGUGGGCGCGGGAUGGAAGGAUGGCACCCAGCAGCCACCAGCCCAGACUGAUGACAUUCGUGCGUUUGUGUCCUUUUCCCAGGCCGUGCCCGUCCCCUGCCCAUCAUGCCCUUCCAGCUGGCCUUUCAUCCCGCAGCGAACCUCUGUGUGUCCGGCUCAGAGUCUCCAUAAACCGCACCAUGGAGCUGGCCCGAAGAUGCAGAAAUGGAGGUUCAGAGCAAAAAGUGACUUCCCGCAAGGUCAAACCAUCAUUGAAAAAUCUCUUGAGAUGGCCUGAUAGACGUGUGACCUGGCAUGGCUGGAUUCCACCCCGGUGGCGAAGUGUUAUUUCCUUUAAUGCACACAUAUACACACACAGCUGUCUGGAAGAAUUCCUGGGCCCAGCACGGAGCGUGAGUCAGCGUUCGCGGGGCACGCCUGCCCGCAGGGGUCUGGGCCGGCGCGCACUGCCCCCAACCCCCCACCUCUGCCUCCCCGACUAUCAGCAUUUUUCAUUUUACAUCUUUCUUACGGAAAAUUUCAAAAACACACAGAAGUCGAGAGGACCAGACACGGAUUCCAGCAUCCCCAGCCCUCGGCUUCAUCCCCGGCAACGUCUGGCAAUCUCGUUUUAUCACCUCCUGUGGGCUCCCUCUCUGGCUUUUUCCCCAUUUGGCUGGAGGAUUU
rnacentral:lncRNA from 1 species